GCCUUUACCUGAAGAUUUCUAUCACUUCUGGAAGUUCUGUGAGGAACUUGAUCCUGAAAAGCCAGCUGAUGGUGAGCUGUCUGGAAACUUCCUUGGAACGACCUGUCCUUUCUGGUUGCUUCAUGGAGGACGAAAGGAGUAGGAACGUGGGCACAUCAGAGGGGAGUGCUUCGUGAGAUGCAGAGACUGCAGGGAGAGGAUUGGAAACUAGAGUUUAUUUUCGGGUUCUGUCCUUCUGACUUGGACAUUUUCGCUAGAAAGCACAAAGACGUGGAUUAUUUGAAGAUGUUUUGUUAAGGAGCAAUCUAGGCAUGAUGCCUCCAGUGUGAAUCAAGAAGAAUGGAGUUGUGGUGGGCUGGAGUUGGGCCUGUUUUGUCUUGAAGAUGACCACCUGAGGAACGCUUGCUGGUCAUGUAACUUGCUUCCCAAAGGGCACCACAUAAACUAGAAACCGCCCUAUUUCGGGGAUGUUGGCAAACAAGCUUGAGUUUUUCAGGGGAGAAUAGGGCUGUCUGAUCUUGGCAGGGUGGGUGAGGGGAGUUCUGUCCUACCGUGUCUUCUGCUAACAAAAACGAACAGGUAUUACAUGGGGCUGGUAUUCAGCAAUGCAUAUUAU